rnacentral:rRNA from 1 species
GGUACACGAGUGGCGAACGGGUGAGUAACACGUGAGUAACCUGCCCUUGACUUUGGGAUAACUUCAGGAAACUGGGGCUAAUACCGGAUAGGAGCUCCUGCUGCAUGGUGGGGGUUGGAAAGUUUCGGCGGUUGGGGAUGGACUCGCGGCUUAUCAGCUUGUUGGUGGGGUAGUGGCUUACCAAGGCUUUGACGGGUAGCCGGCCUGAGAGGGUGACCGGCCACAUUGGGACUGAGAUACGGCCCAG